CACGUAGGGGACGAGCGUUGUCCGGAUUCAUUGGGCGUAAAGCGCGCGCAGGUGGUUCCUUAAGUUCUGAUGUGAAAGCCCACGGCUCAACCGUGGAGGGUCAUUGGAAACUGGGGAACUUGAGUGCAGAAGAGGAAAGUGGAAUUCCAAGUGUAGCGGUGAAAUGCGUAGAGAUUUGGAGGAACACCAGUGGCGAAGGCGACUUUCUGGUCUGUAAACUGACACUGAGGCGCGAAAAGCGUGGGGGAGCAAACAGG
rnacentral:rRNA from 1 species